UUCGCCAAGCUUGUCGCGAAGCUGCUCUCCCUUCGCCUGGCACCACGUCUGGGAUCCAUGGUCUCUACCAACCAAAGCGCAUUCAUUGCGGGACGGUGCAUCCACGACAACUACAUGCUAAUGCAACAGACGGCCCGUCUCCUUCACAACCUCAAGGCGCCGCACAUGCUUCUCAAGCUCGAUAUUGCAUGA
rnacentral:rRNA from 1 species